rnacentral:rRNA from 1 species
GUAACACGUAUGUAACUACCUUUAUCAGGGGGAUAGCCUCUCGAAAGAGAGAUUAAGCCCGAUAAAUCACGAAUAGCAUUAUGAUGUGAUCAAAUAUUUAUAGGAUAAAGAUGGGAUGCGGAAAUUAGUAGUUGGUAAGGUAAUGGCUUACCAAGGCUACGAUGUUUAGGGGAUCUGAGAGGAUGACCCCCAACUGGUACUGAGACACGGACCAGACUCCUACGGGAGGCAGCAGUAAGGAAUAUUGGUCAAUGGGCGGAAGCCUGAACCAGCCAUGCCGCGUGCAGGAAGACGGCCCUACGGGUUGUAAACUGCUUUUGUGCCAGAAUAAACCCCCGGUCGAGACCGGGGCUGAAUGUAUGGCAAGAAUAAGGAUCGGUAACUCCGUGCCAGCAGCCGCGGUAAUACGGAGGAUCCGAGCGUUAUCCGGAUUUAUUGGGUUUAAAGGGUGCGUAGGUGGCCUGUUAAGUCAGGGGUGAAAGAGGUAGUCAAAUAUC